UCUGAGCCCGCGCCCGGCUCCCCUCCCCCGUUAUCUGCUCGGAGGCGCGGGGAGCGCCAGCAAGUUACGCGGCAUCUGGCUAAAAAUACAGGCGCCCGCCGCUCGCCUGGGCUCGGCUCCGGCGCGCGGACCCUGGCUCCGGCCCGUCAGCCAGCCGCUAGUGGGGUCUCUUCAUUUUCUCCCCAUCCUCGUGUCUGAUGGGAAAGUUAAUGUGAAGCGAUCUCCGGAGACGAAGCACCUGCGGCCGAACCCCGCGGUGCGGGCGCGUGGAGGGUGCGGCGGGGGUGCGGGCCGAGCUGCAGGGGCGGCCGGCCGGCGGAGGGCAGCGUCCUGCGGCUGCAGAGAGGAGGCACACGCGUCCAAUGGAGCACAAAGGUGGGCAGAGGUGACACAGAAACACUUGCUGACUGAUGUAUGAACAUGACGUGCGCAUCUGUUUCCACAGUCAUGAGGAAACCGAUUGAGAAUGCCCAGGAAACCAGCCAGUGAGAGAUACUGAAACCAAAGCAAAGCGACCAAAGCAAAGGACCGGAGAGGAACUGUUGGGCUAAAAAGAAAAAGCCGAAGGGUUCUUGUUCCUCGCAGACAAGCGUAAGGAAGGGCUGGAGGAGUUCUGUCCCCCAGAACACAUUCAGCCGUGCCAGGAGGAGAUGGUGCAGGGGGGAAGAACGGGACCCAGCACACAGUGGACCUGGAUGGAGGGGGAGCCUGGCACAGCUCCAGGCCCCUCUGCCACCAACUCUCCCUGAAUCUUCCAGAAACGGGGAGCCUGCUCCUUUUUGCUCAAAAGCAUAAAGCAAAGCAUCCCAAGUGCAUGGGAUUCUCAGGCGACUGCCUUCACAGGAAGCUUUGGGAGAUGGGAACAGGCAGCUUCAGACUGGACCCAAGCUGGCUCCUCUGUAAAGGGAUGGAGCUGAGAUUCAGAGCAGACCGGGGAGUCCAGAGUUGGGCUUCCUGGCACCUCACGCCCUGGUCAACGACCACUCUCCCCCACCCGCCCCCAUGUCCCCAGAGGACAGAGGGCUGUUUUAAUCCUACUCUGAAAUAAAAUUUGACGCAGCACUGAAAGGCACCAGCAUCACCAUUUGCUUUUCCCGGCAGCCUUAGAAUAUGCAAAGUCAGAGUUCCCAUUGUGGCUCAGUGAGUUAAGAACCAACAUUGUCUCUGUGAGGAUGUGGGUUCGAUCCCUGGCCUCCUCAGUGUGU